rnacentral:rRNA from 1 species
UACAGAGGGGGCAAGCGUUGUUCGGAAUUACUGGGCGUAAAGGGCGCGUAGGCGGCCUGUUAAGUCGAACGUGAAAUCCCCGGGCUCAACCCGGGAACUGCGUCCGAGACUGGCAGGCUCGAAUCCGGGAGAGGGAUGUGGAAUUCCAGGUGUAGCGGUGAAAUGCGUAGAUAUCUGGAGGAACAUCGGUGGCGAAGGCGGCAUCCUGGACCGGUAUUGACGCUGAGGCGCGAAAGCCAGGGAGCAAAGCGGG